UGCAGCGGAGAUGGCAGUUCUAACUUAUGUAACCUUUAUUUAACUAGGCAAGUCAGUUAAGAACAAAUUCUUAUUUACAAUGACGACCUGCCAAAAGGCAAAAGGCCUCCUGCGGGGUAGGGGGCCUGGGAUUAAAAUAAAUAAAUAAAUAAAUUCAAUACAGUAUGAAUAUGAAUAUGAAUAUAUAGAGAGACCUAAGACAACAACAUAGCAAGGCAGCAACACAUGACAACACAGCAAGGCAGCAACACAUGACAACACAGCAAGGCAGCAACACAUGACAAUACAGCAUGGCAGCAACACAUGACAAUACAGCAAGGCAGCAACACAUGACAAUACAGCAAGGCAGCAACACAUGACAACACAGCAUGGUAGCAACACAUGACAACACAGCAAGGCAGCAACACAACAUGACAACACAGCAUGGUUUGAUUUGAUGACGGACCGUAACAAAUCAAGUUUCACUUUCAUUGUUUUCUUUGUAAUGAGAGGUGAGGUAGUUAGUACCAGUUCUUUGUAAUGAGAGGUGAGGUAGUGUAUACCAGUUCUUUGUAAUGAGAGGUGAGGUAGUUUAUACCAGUUCUUUGUAAUGAGAGGUGAGGUAGUUUAUACCAGUUCUUUGUAAUGAGAGGUGAGGUAGUUUAUACCAGUUAUUUGUAAUGAGAGGUGAGGUAGUUUAUACCAGUUCUUUGUAAUGAGAGGUGAGGUAGUUAAUACAUGGGCGUGAUUGAUGGCACUGGGCACAGUGUUUGACUCGCCACUUCGUCUUGCCCGCUCUGGCACACCAAUGGAGACCAGUUGAUAGAAG
rnacentral:lncRNA from 1 species